GUCCACGCCGUAAACGAUGGAUACUAGCUGUUGGGAUUUAUCUCAGUGGCUAAGCGAAAGUGAUAAGUAUCCCACCUGGGGAGUACGUUCGCAAGAAUGAAACUCAAAGGAAUUGACGGGGGCCCCGCACAAGCGGUGGAGCAUGUGGUUUAAUUCGAUGAUACGCGAGGAACCUUACCAAGGCUUAAAUGUAGAUUGACCGGUUUGGAAACAGAUCUUUCGCAAGACAAUUUACAAGGUGCUGCAUGGUUGUCGU
rnacentral:rRNA from 1 species